UGCGGGGUGGAGCAGUGGUAGCUCGUCGGGCUCAUAACCCGGAGGUCGGCCGUUCAAAUCGGUCCCCCGCAA
rnacentral:tRNA from 1 species